UUUGGGAUUUUUAGAAGAAUUCGUUUCUCUGUACAAGAAUCACAGUUUGCUUCUCGUGAAAUCGUCUUGAUUCAGAGACUGGAGUGUUAAGGCGAUCCGAAGGAAGACCACUGGAACUAGAAGGAUGAGGUAUCUGCGCCACAUCCCUCGUAGAUUCAAGAGCGGCUUCAGAGAGGGUACACAAGAGACUCCGAGGAGCAAGGGAGCAACAGCUACUGCAUAAUGUGCUUCGAGAGGGUCAUUUUGAUUUUCAGAGCGUUUAUUGUGUUGGGUGAGUUU